GUAAGAAACAUCUUCGGGUUGUGAGGUUAAGCGACUAAGCGUACACGGUGGAUGCCCUGGCAGUCAGAGGCGAUGAAGGACGUGCUAAUCUGCGAUAAGCGCCGGUAAGGUGAUAUGAACCGUUAUAACCGGCGAUUUCCGAAUGGGGAAACCCAGUGUGAUUCGUCACACUAUCAUUAACUGAAUCCAUAGGUUAAUGAGGCGAACCGGGGGAACUGAAACAUCUAAGUACCCCGAGGAAAAGAAAUCAACCGAGAUUCCCCCAGUAGCGGCGAGCGAACGGGGAGGAGCCCAGAGCCUGAAUCAGCAUGUGUGUUAGUGGAAGCGUCUGGAAAGGCGCGCGAUACAGGGUGACAGCCCCGUACACAAAAGCGCAUGUGCUGUGAGCUCGAUGAGUAGGGCGGGACACGUGGUAUCCUGUCUGAAUAUGGGGGGACCAUCCUCCAAGGCUAAAUACUCCUGACUGACCGAUAGUGAACCAGUACCGUGAGGGAAAGGCGAAAAGAACCCCGGCGAGGGGAGUGAAAAAGAACCUGAAACCGUGUACGUACAAGCAGUGGGAGC
rnacentral:rRNA from 1 species